GAUCAUGGCUCAGGAUGAACGCUAGCGACAGGCUUAACACAUGCAAGGUCGAGGGGCAGCAUGAACUUAGCUUGCUAAGUUUGAUGGCGUCCGGCGCACGGGUGAGUAACGCGUAUGCAACUUGCCUAUCAGAGGAGAAUAGCUCAUCGAAAGAUGAAUUAAUGCUCCAUAAAACAGGGGUCCCGCAUGGGAAAUAUUUUGUUAAAAGAUUCAUCGCUGGAUAG
rnacentral:rRNA from 1 species